CAAGAAGCAAGAAGCCACCCUGGUACCGGAGACAGAAACAGAGGCGAAGGGGUCGGCCGAGGAGAGCGGUGGAGGGGGGAUGGGGAUGGUAGAUAAGAUUAAAGGGGCUGUGAGUUCUUGGAUUGGAGCCGGAAGUGUGGCAGGAGGGAAGCAAGCAUCGACCCCAAGUGAGAGCAUGGACCUCAAAGGGAAAGAAUAGUGGCCGGUGCAAGCUAUGAAGGUGCUUCAGCAAGGAGAGGGAAGGAGGGUGGUGUUUAUUUAUUUAUUUUUGCUUUGUGUUUAUGGACAAGUUAUCGUAUAUUUAUUGUAUACUUUUGUACUUCGUAGGACGAAGGUGGUGGUGUUGUAUGUAUACGUUCUGCUUAAUUUUGUGCGUGGCUUCAUGCUCUCUUGGUGAAAUUUAACUUCUGUUUGUGUGCGGACCUUA